GGUCUUAUAGUCUAUAAAGGAUUUUAAAUUGCAAGUUUAAAGGAAACAUAAGUUUAUGACUU
rnacentral:tRNA from 1 species